CUACGUAGCUCAGAGUUUGAUCCUGGCUCAGGACGAACGCUGGCGGCGUGCCUAAUACAUGCAAGUAGAACGCUGAAGGAGGAGCUUGCUCUUCUGGAUGAGUUGCGAACGGGUGAGUAACGCGUAGGUAACCUGCCUGGUAGCGGGGGAGUAACUAUUGGAAACGAUAGCUAAUACCGCAUAAGAGUAGAUAUCGCAUGAUAGCUGCUUGAAAGGUGCAAUUGCACCACUACCAGAUGGACCUGCGUUGUAUUAGCUAGUUGGUGAGGUAACGGCUCACCAAGGCAACGAUACAUAGCCGACCUGAGAGGGUGAUCGGCCACACUGGGACUGAGACACGGCCCAG
rnacentral:rRNA from 1 species